rnacentral:rRNA from 1 species
AUUGAACGCUGGCGGCAGGCCUAACACAUGCAAGUCGAACGGUAACAGGAAGAAGCUUGCUUCUUUGCUGACGAGUGGCGGACGCGUGUGUAAUGUCUGGGAAACUGCCUGAUGGCGGGGGAUAACUACUGGAAACGGUAGCUAAUACCGCAUAUCGUCGCAACACCAAAGAGGGGGACCUUCGCGCCUCUUGCCCUCGUAUGUGCCCAGAUGGGAUUAGCUAGUAGGUGGGGUAACGGCUCACCUAGGCGACGAUCCCUAGCUGGUCUGAGAGGAUGACCAGCCACACUGGAACUGAGACACGGUCCAGACUCCUUCGGGAGGCAGCAGUGGGGAAUAUUGCACAAUGGGCGCAAGCCUGAUGCAGCCAUGCCGCGUGUAUGAAGAAGGCCUUCGGGUUGUAAAGUACUUUCAGCGGGGAGGAAGGGAGUAAAGUUAAUACCUUUGCUCAUUGACGUUACCCACAGAAGAAGCACCGGCUAACUCCGUG